rnacentral:rRNA from 1 species
UACGUAGGGUGCAAGCGUUGUCCGGAAUUAUUGGGCGUAAAGAGCUCGUAGGCGGUUUGUCGCGUCUGCUGUGAAAACCUGAGGCUCAACCUCGGGCUUGCAGUGGGUACGGGCAGACUAGAGUGCGGUAGGGGUGACUGGAAUUCCUGGUGUAGCGGUGGAAUGCGCAGAUAUCAGGAGGAACACCGAUGGCGAAGGCAGGUCACUGGGCCGCAACUGACGCUGAGGAGCGAAAGCGUGGGGAG